AUUGAACGCUGGCGGCAGGCCUAACACAUGCAAGUCGAGCGAGCGGCGGAGGGGUGAGAGAUGUCUGGGGAACUGCCUGAUGGAGGGGGAGAACUACUGUAAACGGUAGCUAAUACCGCACACCAUCAAAUGUGCCCAGAUGGGAUUAGCUAGUGGGUGGGGGAACGGCUCACCUAGGCGACGAUCCCUAGCUGGUCUGAGAGGAGGACCAGCCACACUGGAACUGAGACACGGUCCAGACUCCUACGGGAGGCAGCAGUGGGGAAUAUUGCACAAUGGGCGAAAGCCUGAUGCAGCCAUGCCGCGUGUGUGAAGAAGGCCUUCGGGUUGUAAAGCACUUUUAGCGGGGAGGCGUUACCCGCAGAAGAAGCACCGGCUAACUCCGUGCCAGCAGCCGCGGUAAUAC
rnacentral:rRNA from 1 species